rnacentral:sRNA from 1 species
CACCUGUUAAACCCUAUACAUAAUAGCGUACAUAGGAGAUACGGAUGCGAAUUGGCUUAUAUGAUUAUGAUUGAUCUCCGUGUAUUACGAGUAUGCAGCCCGCCGUCUACCACGUAGUGGACAAGGUAUGAGGUGUGAGGAUCGUCGUGGUAGGUAAUGAGGCCAUUGCUACUUAUCGCGUUCACCGCUUAUGUACGGCGUACGAUUGACGUUUGAUGAUGGUGUGCAGUGCAAGGUACAGGACAGGAUGGAAGACGGAAGCAAAAGUUCAAGGAAUAACAUGUGAAGAAAGUCGAAGGGAAAAUGGAUGGUGAUGAAGGUGAACAAGAGGUUCUACACAAUGGUGAAACGCGAAAACAACGCGCAAAAUGAACUGAGCAGCGGAAGCGACCAGCGACGGGCGAUGAGGAGGAUGAGUCUGACACCGCCGAAUGGAGGAGAAGAAAAACACAAGAGUUCAGGGCCGGCCGAGCACUGAGCAGGAAAAACAAACCGGGGAGUAGAGAAAGCGGUGGACGAAAGUGAGGAACGAUGAAUGAAAACCAUCAUCGUUUUCGGGGUUGCUUGUUUAUUACCCUGUUAAAGGCACAUGACCGGAGAGUUCGGCGUCAAACAAUGGCCGCUUCUUUUCGUCCUCUCGUCUUCCAGUCUUGCCAAGCGAUUUGCGGGGGCGGUGAAGAACGACGGUGUGUGCAGGCAUACUCUAAUCUACGGUCGACACGAAGACGCAGGGCGCAAG